rnacentral:rRNA from 1 species
CCUACGGGGGGCAGCAGUGGGGAAUAUUGCGCAAUGGGCGAAAGCCUGACGCAGCGACGCCGCGUGAGGGAUGAAGGUCUUCGGAUCGUAAACCUCUGUCAGCAGGGGAGAACGGUCACUGUGCUAAUCAGCAGUGAAUUGACGGUACCUGCAAAGGAAGCACCGGCUAACUCCGUACCAGCAGCCGGGGUAAUACGGAGGUUGCGACCGUUAUCCGGAUUUAUUGGGUUUAAAGGGUGCGUAGGCGGACUGUUACGUCAGCGGUAAAGGCCCGGGGCCAAACCCCGGCGAGCCGUUGAAACUGGCUGUCUUGAGAGGUCGAAGGGUAUGCGGAAUGCGCAGUGUAGCGGUGAAAUGCUUAGAUAUUGCGCAGAACUCCGAUUGCGAAGGCAGCAUACCGGCGGCGAUCUGACGCUGAGGCACGAAAGCGUGGGUAUCGAACAGGAUUAGAUACCCUGGUAGUC